rnacentral:rRNA from 1 species
AUUGAACGCUGGCGGCAGGCCUAACACAUGCAAGUCGAACGGUAACAGGAAGAAGCUUGCUUCUUUGCUGACGAGUGGCGGACGGGUGAGUAAUGUCUGGGAAACUGCCUGAUGGAGGGGGAUAACUACUGGAAACGGUAGCUAAUACCGCAUAACGUCGCAAGACCAAAGAGGGGGACCUUCGGGCCUCUUGCCAUCGGAUGUGCCCAGAUGGGAUUAGCUAGUAGGUGGGGUAACGGCUCACCUAGGCGACGAUCCCUAGCUGGUCUGAGAGGAUGACAAGCCACACUGGAACUGAGACACGGUCCAGACUCCUACGGGAGGCAGCAGUGGGGAAUAUUGCACAAUGGGCGCAAGCCUGAUGCAGCCAUGCCGCGUGUAUGAAGAAGGCCUUCGGGUUGUAAAGUACUUUCAGCGGGGAGGAAGGGAGUAAAGUUAAUACCUUUACUCAUUGACGUUACCCGCAGAAGAAGCACCGGCUAACUCCGUG